CUCUUGGUUUUAUUAGCUUCUUUUGUUCUAGAGCCUUCAGCUGUGCUGUUAAGCUGUUAGUUUAUGCUCUUUCCAGUUUCUUUUUGGAGGCACUCAGAGGGAGACUUAGAAUUUUGGUUAAUUCAUGUUCGUGCAUUUGUAAUGGGACCUAAGCAUCUGCAGUCAGGUGGUAAGUACAGUUCAUUGCUAUGGAAAUCUUGUUUCUUGUUGCGCAGGUGUUUGAAACUGCCUGUUAUAUAUUUAGUUUUAGGUGGUAGGCCAUCUGCAGGAAGCUUGAGGCUCAGUCCUUGGGCAAUUCAGUGCUAAUGUUUGAAUUGGGUAUUAGAAGAAGUCUUCGCUUGGCUCAAGUUAAUGGAGGAUUUUCAGCACAGGAGCUGACCUUCUAUAGUGUGUGGUCUAUGGACUUCAUGUUGGACAAUAUUAUGUGAGAUAAUAUUAUUAUCUUAUUUCCUAUUCAGACUGUAGCUCUUUAUGUUCUUAGUGCUUGGCCUUAUCCCUAGCAAGUGGUUGGGGGGGGUGUCAAUUAAUAGUCAACAUAUGAUUGAACAUGAUGGAAUAUAUUUUUCUGAUAUGUAAUUUUAAAACUACAUAUAUUCUUGAUAGUUUAUGGCUAGUUUGCUUAAGACCAUGCAUUGUUCUUUGUUAUUGAAUCUAACCGAAAAGACCUCACAGUUUCUUGUUCUCAUCAUCCCAGAGACACAGUCAGUUAGAACCCUGUGAGUUUGAGGCCAGAUGGGUCUACAUAGUGACUUCUAGGUCAACUGGCACUUCAUAGAGGCUUUUUCUCAAAGAAGGGACAAGGUCUCUUGCUUUGUAUCAGGGGGGAAAUUCAGCAGUGAAACUCCCCCAAAUACCUAGAGGCAUUGAAAUGAGGAGAAUCCACUCUUGAGAUGAGGUUUGUGUGGAAGGGGAAUGAAUGAGAAAGAAGCAGAAUGUCAUACAUGAGUAAACCUGCCAUGAUGGAAACCGUUCCUUUGUAUGGAGACCUAAAAAAGAAUUUCAGAAAAUAGAAAAAAAGUCAAAACCAAAACCAAAGGAGAGUAUCUACCAAUGGGAAAUGGAGCAAAGAUAAUGUGGGGGCACUUUUGCAAUGCUUCUUGUGAUUGAAAAAAAAACUAUAGAAAAUUCAAAUUAAAACUAGACAAGAUAAAAGCUAUAUCAGAUGAAUCAAAAAUACAUUUCUGUCUUACACACUGUUAGAACCUGGUAUAAAAUUUAGAGGAUCAUGUAAAACUAAAUCUCUAGAGUGAUUAUUAUUCAACAUUAAUAAUUUCAAAGCAUUGAUGGCAGGGUAUGAAGCCUUCAGGGACUUUUAUCAUGGGGGAAUACAUAUUGUAUAUAUUGCACACCAAAAUAGCAAAAUAGUUGGUUGUGCAUGGAGAAAAAAAUCUGUAUGCUCAUGUACCCAUUAAGAACUCCACCAUUGGAAGCUAAAGAGGCUCACUGAGUUUAGAGCAGUUUUUGCUCUUGAAGAGUGCCUGGGUUCAGUUCCCAGAAUUCACUUGGUGAAUUACAAGUGAUUGUAGCCCAAAUUUAAAGAAAUCUGAUAUCGUCUUUCACCUCUGUGGGUACCAGAAAUGCAGACAGUAAGAGGAAGUCAGGAGAAAGGAUAGAGAGACAGAGGAAGUAGAAAAGAGGGACAUUCAGUUGGAAGGAUUAUAGAGGAGGGAUUAGGAGAGUCUUUUUGCAUCUUUUUUCCUGCAGAUGUUUUUUCCUGCUGCAGCACUGGAGUGUAGCACACAUUCCUCUUAUCACUGAAGAUUCAUUGAUGUGGGAUGCUGAAACAGGUACUCACCAUACAGAACAGCCACUGACCUGUGCUUAUCCCUGCACAAAACUUCUGGAUUUGAACUCUGUAGGGAAAGGCUGUAGUACUCUUGGAGUGAUUAGCAAUCCAGAAAGAUUUUACAUGAUGAAUGUGCUGGUUAGUUCUUUGUCAACUUGACACAAGAUAUAGACAUCUGGGGCUGGCGAGAUGGCUCAGUGGUUAAGAGCACUGACUGCUCUUCUGAAGGUCCCGAGUUCAAAUCCCAGCAACCACAACCAUCCGUAACGAGAUCUGACACCCUCUUCUGGGGUGUCUGAAGAUAGCUACAGCAAGCAGGGCUGGAGCAAGUAGCAGGGCUGGAACAAGCCAGCCGGAGAAAGCUGGAUCAAAUGGGGGCGAGGGAGAGCUGGAGAGAUGGGUCAGUGGUUAAGAGCACCGACUGUUCUUCCAGAGGUCCCGAGUUCAAAUCCUAGCAACCACACAAUGGUUCACAGCCAUCUGUAAUGAGAUCAGAUGCCCUUGUCUGGUGUGUCUGAAAAACAGCUACAGCAUAACACUACAUAUAAUAAAUAUAAAUAAAUCUUAGACAUUUAGAAAGAGGGAAUCUCUGUUGGAAAAAAAAAAUGCCUCCAUCAGAUUAUUGAUGUUGGAGAGUCCAGCCCACUUUGGCUGGUGCCUUCCUGGUGGGUGGUUGUGGGUUGUAUGAGAAAGCAGGCUGAGCAGACCAUGUGUGGCAGGGCAGGAAGCAGUGUUCCUCUGCAAUUUUCCAUCAGUUCAUGUAUCUUUUUGCUCAGUGAUAGACUGUGAUGUGAAAGAGUAAGCCAAUAAUUGCUUUUUCACCCAAGUUGCUUUUGAUCAAUGUUUUAUCACAGAAGCAGAGAAACCUAGUAGGUUCAUAGUAGUACUUAAACAGAAUUACUGUUAACAAAUUAAUGAUAACUUUAUCAUCCGUAUGUUAACAUGUUAUUUUGGAAUUUUUACCUGAGUCAUGGAUUUUAUUUCUCAGAAUCAACAUAUCUAGGAAAGUACCUAAUAUGUUAUCCAAAUAGGUCUUGAGAUUGAACAAGCUUAACUAAUAGUUUAUAAUAAUGACAAAAAAAAAAAAACCCAGUAGUGCUAUGGUCAGAAGGAUUAUGUUCUUUCUUCAUGUAUUGACACACCCAGAUGUCCUGGCAUCAAGACUUGUGGCCUUUGAGACAUGAGCAAGUCAUGAGGAGGAGCUCCUAUAAGUGGAAUUAAUAUUUAGAUAAUCAUGCACAUACAAAAACAAAAUACUUCCUUGUAGUCUACCAUGUGAAAACAAAACUAGAAGACAUCAUUCAUAAGUCAAGUGAUGUCAGAUUUGCCACCUAAAUUAUCUUGGACAUUCUUGUGUUUAUGAACCUUGCAUCUCAUAACAAAUUUUAUGACAAUACAAAUGUACUAAAGCAAUUGUUUUUGUCAUAAUUACAUAGUUCUGAAGACCAGAAGUUCAGAAUGAAUUGAAUUGGGCCAAAAUCAAUAUUACACUCAUUUUUCUUUUGGUGAGUUGAAAGCAAACUCUGUUUCCUAGCUUUGACAAUCUCUGAACACUGUCUGUUUACCAUAGCAAUGGUCUCUUGCUCCACCUUCAGAGCCAACAGCAUGGCACCUCCAGCUUUCUGUCUGUCAGUGAUGUUCUUAUCUUCUCUAAUGAGGAACUCCAGGAUUAGGGGAGGCUGUCUGUUUAACCCAGAAAAACCUCUUCAUCUCAAUAUCCUUAAUUUCACUACACUCAAAGGACGCUCUGUGAUGUGAGGGAACAUGUAUAGAAGUUUGGGGAUUGGGACAAGUGUGUCUUUGGAGGCAUUACGCUGUUUAUUUGUGUAUGUUGAAUUGAAACAACCAUGACUUCAAGGGCAUUAUUGAAGACAGGCUUGUUUUGCUGCAAAAGGUGUGGCAUUUUGUUUCAUUAUAUACUAUAUUUUAUGGUCUUCACUAAUUUAGCAUCUCUAUCACCCAUCUAUUAUCAAAGGCAGAAGGUCCAAAGGCAGUGAGGCAGAGGAAAGUAAUUUCCAUGAUUUUUUUUGUUCUGCUUUUACUUGUUCAAAUAUUGUAAUAUAUCAAGUUCUUAAAACAGUCUUUGGUAUUAGUCACUGGAAAUAUCUUGGUGGCUAGCAAUGACUAACCCAAAUGUGCUUUUUCUUUUCCUUUUGUAUUCAAUUAGUCACUAAUUUUUGUCUCCUGAACAAAUCCUUAAUUUUAAAAGUCAGGAGAAAGAAGCAAAUCUCCUUUCUAAGUGUCAUUAUCACUACUCUAGCUGUGUGCCUCUUUCCUUCACACUGCAACUUCUUGCGAGCAGUCUGGCCACAGGUCAUAUCAUCUCAGAUGGCAUUGGGUUGAACGAAGAAUACAGUUCUCACAAGGCCCAAUUUCAUCUUCAGUACUGAAAACCUCAUUUAUACUGCAUCCGUUAUUGGACAUAGGGAUGCAUGUGAUCUAGUCAGGACCUUGACUCUGACAUCACAUUUACAUAGUUAAGUGGAGUUAUUUUUAGUCUUCCUUCUUUUUAUAAUGUGUGUCUAACUGAGCUUCGGUAAUGUCUCAGACAUAUUCACCUCACAUUUACCAUUUUGGAACUUCCUUAAACUGGAAGAUAUUUUUCUCAACCUUAUAAAUUACUUUCCUAUUUAUCUGACACCUACAGAAAUUUCAGCUCUAAAUCAUGCUAGUACUACCUAACCUGAAUUCUUGACUCUGAAUUUUCUUAUAUUAGUGCUCACAGAAAUUAUUGCCUUUUCUGACUUCUCAGAACAAGCCAAACAAGAGUGUUCCUUUCAGUUUUAUACAGGGCAACUGUGACCACUCCUGGCUUGGUGAGUAACAAUUUAGAAGUGAAUGGAUGUUAAAUGAUUAUUCAUAUCUUUAUAGUGUCAUGAUUCAUUUAUAGUUAACUUUUAACAUAAGAACUAUAUUAGUAAUAUAGAAACCAAAAGAUUUUAAACUAGUAGAAUCCUCAGGAGUAAUUUUGUGACUUUUGUUCUUACUUUUUCUUGUUUUUACAGAAGUAGGAGGUCAUUUGACUAUAUCUUCUGUCACUUACAGGGAACUUACAGAGAUAUUAACCUCUUGUCCAAAAGCUUAUCUGGAAGGUGAAACUAUUAGUCUCGUCCUCAUCUGCUAAUUUAGGACAUUUACUGAAAUGAAUCAUUACUAUGUCUGGAGCACAGGGAGUGGGUAACAGUAAGCUAAAGUCUUAUGUUGUUUCAACAGAAAGGGUCUCAAGGAUGGGUUGUCAGUUGUCUUGGCUUUCUGUUUGUGGAUUUUUAAUUUUUAUUUUGUUUUUAUUCUUCAUAGGGACAAAAAGCUGUCAGUUGCCAGUUAAUACAGCAUUGUUUGCCUACCUUUGUUGUAUUUUAGAACCAUUAUAUAGUUGUCCUUAAGCACUGAGUUGACCCAAGGGUCAGGACCCUGAUGCAGGAGAGAGGAGUGUCUAAGUUACUCCUGGCAUCUAUAAGCUUCCAUGAAGAUCCACCAGAAAAGUAGAAUUUCUAAAUAAAGACAAACAGAAACUGUUGUGGGGUAUCCAUCAGAGAACACUGCCUGGAUUCAGAUUUAAGCCAGUAGAAAUCCUUAUUAGCUGGCUGGAGACCACACUGGGUAUUCAGGAUCCCAGUUUACCACCAAGCCUUUAUGAACAACUACAACAACAAAAAACACAUCCUGGGUUGACAUACUUCUGUUAACAAGCACAGUUAGACAGAAGCAGAGCUACCAAAAUCAAAUAAAGCAAGGCUAGUACAUUUAGGGACCUUCUCAUAACUAUGGACUUUGAUGGAUUAGGUCUUUGUUUUUGUUUUGGCAGGUGGUACCAUCUGUGUACUGAGUUUAAGUGCUUGAAUGGUACUUCAAUCAUGGAGUCAGUUGUGCCAAGAUCUGGGCACCUGAUAUAGAAACCUAAAAAUUAAAAGAAAAA